CAUACUUGGAAGUCAUUUUUCCUACACUGUUUGUAAGGUAGGCUGUCUUCUAUGACACUAGUACUGAGCCCUUGCUCUGUGCCAUGCAAUGCUGUGAAGGACUUGAAAGUGAAUUAUAUAUGUGAUGUGUGGGAGUACUUGUGCAAUGAUAACAAAUAAGAUUAACCUGGGGUCUUGAGACAUGGUCUAGUAAGGCUUCCUGAAAUAGAAAUGUUAAGGAUUGACUAAUUCUGAGAAAGAGGUAAAGGAACUGAGGUAGUUUAUGGUGCAAAGUUCACUUGUGAGAAAGAGCCAAAGUGUAGCAGAACAGAGUGACCUGGGGGACUGUAAGUGGUUGGAUACAGCUGGGGAGAAGAGCCUGAAGCAGAGUAGCAUGCAGCUGAACUUCUUGUGAGACAGAAAAGAAGGCCUUCUACUAUGGUUUCAAUGUGGUGUGGGUGUCCCCUAAAGGUUCAUGUACUGGAUGCUUGAUCCUCAGUGUGGCAGUGUUGGCCAAAUGGAAUCUUGAAGAGUGGGGGUCCCUCAUAAGAAGCCAAACAGAGGGGAUCAUCAAAUCUUGGACUUUCAGUCACCAAAACUGUCCUGCCUGAACUCCAUGGACUUCUAGCAGGAGGAGUACAAUCAUCCCUAGACACAGCGCCAAUUGCUUACUCAACACCAUCUUGCCUUUCAUUUCCAGCCAUCAGUUUUGUGAAUGAGGGAGAAGAAUCACUCAUGUCAGGAGCUGUUGCCACUUAUAUGGAAACUCUUGGUUGGGAACACCAGUCAGCAGUAGAAGAUGGAGAUCAGAGUUGGAGUCACUCACGGUUAGAAUCCUCCCUUGGGCUAUAGAAGAGAGCCAGUGGCAAUUCUG
rnacentral:lncRNA from 1 species